rnacentral:rRNA from 1 species
GCGUUACUCGGAAUUACUGGGCGUAAAGCGUGCGUAGGCGGUUUGUUAAGUCUGUCGUGAAAGCCCUGGGCUCAACCUGGGAAUUGCGAUGGAUACUGGCAAGCUAGAGUACGGUAGAGGAUGGUGGAAUUCCCGGUGUAGCGGUGAAAUGCGCAGAUAUCGGGAGGAACACCGGUGGCGAAGGCGGUUCUCUAGUACGGUACUGACGCUGAGACGCGAAAGCGUGGGGAGCGAACAGG